rnacentral:tRNA from 1 species
GGAGGAGUGCGAGAGCGGCCGAAUCGGCACGAUUGGAAAUCGUGUGACCUGCAAGGGUCCGUGGGUUCAAAUCCCACCUCCUCCG